AACGAACGCUGGCGGCAGGCUUAACACAUGCAAGUCGAGCGCCCCGCAAGGGGAGCGGCAGAUGGGUGAGUAACGCGUGGGAAUCUACCCAUCUCUACGGAAUAACGCAUGGAAACGUGUGCUAAUACCGUAUACGGCCUUCGGGAGAAAGAUUUAUCGGAGAUGGAUGAGCCCGCGUUGGAUUAGCUAGUUGGUGGGGUAAGGGCCUACCAAGGCGACGAUCCAUAGCUGGUCUGAGAGGAUGAUCAGCCACACUGGGACUGAGACACGGCCCAGACUCCUACGGGAGGCAGCAGUGGGGAAUAUUGGACAAUGGGCGCAAGCCUGAUCCAGCCAUGCCGCGUGAGUGAUGAAGGCCCUAGGGUUGUAAAGCUCUUUCACCGGUGAAGAUAAUGACGGUAACCGGAGAAGAAGCCCCGGCUAACUUCGUGCCAGCAGCCGCGGUAACAC
rnacentral:rRNA from 1 species